rnacentral:rRNA from 1 species
CAGUCGCCGCGGGAAAACGAAGGGUGCAAGCGUUAAUCGGAAUUACUGGGCGUAAAGCGCGCGUAGGUGGUUCAUUAAGUUGGAUGUGAAAGCCCUGGGCUCAACCUGGGAACUGCAUCCAAAACUGGUGAGCUAGAGUACGGUAGAGGGUAGUGGAAUUUCCUGUGUAGCGGUGAAAUGCGUAGAUAUAGGAAGGAACACCAGUGGCGAAGGCGACUACCUGGACUGAUACUGACACUGAGGUGCGAAAGCGUGGGGAGCAAACAGGAUUAGAUACCCCCGUAGUCCCUGUCUCUUAUAA